AAAUGCGGACAGCCAAUUUCAGUUAAAGAGGGUACAUUAUAAUAGAUUCUAUAAGUUUUAAAUACUCUUGUCUGAUUCUAAGUUUUUUUGUUCGAUUUCUUAUUGACGAUUUUCCUUAACAUCUAUUCUGUGUGAUAAAUCGUGGUUUACAGUGUAAAACAAGCCUCAUACAGAUAACUGUUUAUUGGCAUAUAAUACGUGCAACAGACGUAAAAUAAAUCAAAAACAGCUGUGAAAACAAUUUAGACAUUGUGAUCUGGGCUUUUACCAUCAAGAUGAAGCCAAUAUCAGAACUUUGAUUGUCUCAAAGCAGUGGCAGAUGCAAAGGUCCCCUUUUUUAUGAUAAAACAAUUAUCAUAUCAUGUUUUUCACGAUUCAUAUAAUUGUCUUUAGCAUAAAACCGUAUAAAUAAAUUGUAGCGCUACGCUUUUCUGAUUGGGUUCCAUUCAUAUAUCCUUCAGAACUAGAAAUAAAAAAAUAAACAGCUAACAUGUUUAACCCAGCUACAUUAUUUAAGUAUGUACCUGACCCAAGUCAGGAGCCUGUAAUUCAGUGGUUGUCGUUUGUUUUAUGUGUUGCAUAUUUGUUUUUUGUUCAUUUUUUUAAUUAAAUAAGGCCGUUAGUUUUCUCAUUUGAAAUGUUUUACAUUGUCUUAUCGGGGCCUUUUAUAGCUGACUAUGCAGUAUGGCUUUGCUCAUUGUGAACCGUACGGUUACCUAUAGUUGUUAAUGUGUGUCAUUUUGGUCUCUUGUGGACAGUUGUCUCAUUGGCAAUCAUAACACAUCUUCUUUUUUAGAUAAAGCUUCCUCAGCCUUCUUUGUAGAUUUAUACUUCGAAUCUGACUGAAGCAAUAUACCAAAUUCACCUGCAUAUGGACUAUACAUUUCCCAACUCAUUCGAUAAGUAAAAGCUUGCAGCCUCAACCACACUUUAUUAAACGUCACUUCUGGCUAAGCAGAAAGUUGUUAAACAAGGGAUGAUGUCAAAGAACGCUAAAUUACACGCUCAUAUGAUUUGGGCGCUUAUUUUCAAGAUUAACACAAUAUCUGACAAUUGGGUGCCUAACCAACUACUAGUACUUGGUGUUGCUGUCCCGUCAUGCCCUAAUAUAUAUUUUUUUUUUAAAUAUGGUUAAAUAUACUAACUGUACAAAUGCCAUGUUAGUCCAUAACUGAAUUUUUCUGUAUCUAUGAAAAUAAUGCAACAAAAUCUUGAAUCUAACACUAAGACUUAUAAGAUACAGUUCAAAAAUGAGGCUAGUGACUUAUAAACUCUGGUAUCGGUUGUCAUUUGAGCGCAGAAGUAUAACGAUUCUAGCGAAUAACAGUAUAAAUUGUUCAAUUAAAGACCCAAAAGUUGGACUAUGUUUACAUCUCCAUUGCUUAGGAUCUUAAAUGUCAUAUUAAACAUUUGAUAGUUCUUAUCGAUCUUAUCGCUCAAACAGUUUACAAACAAAGAAGCACGACUAUAAACAUUGAUCACAGAGAUUGAUUUAUUUCUUUAAGGAUGUACUUAGGUGAGGUUUUGGAAUUUGUGUCCUUGGUGUUUUUCCAUACAAUACAAUGUAAAAUAUUUUGCCCCAUAGCACCCAUUUAUUUUUUCAUAUAAGACCUAAUAGCUCAUGAAAUGUCAUUUACCAUAAUUUUAGAAAAUUCUUGAUUUUCUUUCUUUUGUUUUGAGACCCAAUAAUAUCAAUGCAAAUAUAAGGUAAAAGUCCGAAUCAUCCUUUUCCCGCCAUAUUUUAAAUCUCAAAUAUCUCGAAAAGGAGCUCCAUGACCUAUCAAUAUUUUUAGCUUAUUUUUAUCCUAAAUUGAUGCUCUACCAGCUUAUAGUAUCAAUUUUAGCUUCUUAAUUUAUUAAUUUCCACCUAACCUCACCUAAGUACAUCCUUAAGGGUACAUCAGGGUACAUGAAAAUAAUGCAACAAAUUUUGCACGCAGCGGAAUGGCAAACUUGUCAUACGAACAGUGUUUAUUUUCAUUAUUCUGAAUGGUGCAUUUUUUAAAUUGGUUUACCAGCAGUUACAUAGCAGAAUCUUUUCAAAAUUUGCUAGUACGCUGUUCAUAAUGUACUCUCAUUAGUACUGAUUGGAUGUGGUACAUUUCAGAUUUGAUGUAUUAUAAUUACUUUAAGUUCCGUGUACGCUUUUAGGAAUCCCUUUGUCAUAUUUCAACCAGCCUAACAAGUUUGCCUAGAGUACGGUAGAUCGUGUGUUUAAGCCCGGCUAGUUCAAAUACUUUCAAGUUUAAAGUUGCGAAUUUAAGUAGUAAGAGAAAAUACUGGUCACCUACGAACAAGAAUAUGCAUCUUGUUUGUAUUUUCGUUGGGUUUUUUUGUAGCACGUAAAAAAUGGGUUAAUAUAAAAAUCGCACCAACGUGUUUUCGUCCAAACUUAGAAAGUAAUUAUUUCAUUCCAUACUCUAUGAUCAUAUUGACACGCAUGAGUAGUCCUUAUAUUUGUCAAUUUCUUAUACCGAGCGUCAACGAGGUGUAAAAUGUGAACAAAUAUAUGCCUACCAAUGGUCAAAUGGAUCAUACAGCAUUCAUGACAUAAUAAAAUACAUGUAAUGUCGUAUUUAAUAGGCAAAUUUAGAACUUGUGUCAUUCAGAGCGGACCUAUAAUACGUAUACGCGUUUAUGAAGCAAAAACAUUAUAGAAAAUCAACCAUUUCACGAUAAGCAAAUUACGUUUAUUAGAAUAAGAACAUGGCUUUGUUUCUAAAACGAAAGAACAUCAUACUUAUAAUCUUAUUUUAUUUUGCGGUGGACGGGCCUGAAAAGAAAUGAAAAUUCUAAACCAAACUUACUAGGUAGUAUUUAUUAUUGUAUCUCGGCUGGGUUGCAAGAAAUGCUAAACCAACCAAAUUAUUAGUGCAAUGAGUAUUCGCGGAAAGGCGUACUUUUUUGCUGUAAUAUAUAUAUCGCAAAAUGAAACUAUCCACUUGUUGUUUUUUUGUUAGGAUUUACCACAUUGCUCCCAUUUGGAAAAUAAUGUUAAAUCGUUUUAUUUAUGAUUGAUUGUUUGUAUAAUUGUUACCAUUCAUUAAUAUUUCAGGACUGUCAGAAUCAGAAGCUCCUGACAGUGUUCGUCAACACAGUGAUUCUCAACAGAAAACGUCAUAUAAUUUAUUGUGGGCAAUAUUUGUACUUCUUUUGAUAGCUGUUAUGUGGUGGAGUUAUGAAAAAUUUCGAACAAUUAUCAACAGAUGUUGCAAGAAACGAACAUAGCUGUAUACAAAACGUGAAUAGAUGCACAACGAUAUAUUGAAGUAUAAUAGAGUGUUGUCGUUCUUUUCAAAAUCCCUUCAUUUAACAGUAUGUGCUCACGGAGAAUGUUAAAACAAACUAUUAAUUCUCGUGUGGAAAUUAUUUUUCGAGGAGAGCGAUUGAGAUUUUUGUUUUUGUAAAUACAUCACAGAUUUUUUCUUUCUGUAUAGUACUCUUUACUCAGCGAUAAAGCAUGUAUCAUUUCAAAUGAUUCUUUAAUAAUCAGCUAUAUUUACAAAUGCUAAAAAUGCGACUUUAUUUUAACAUUGUUUAACAGUUAGUAAACCUCACAUUGUAAAGUAUCAAAUUGCACUAAGGUAUCAACUUAUUAUAAUUUUCGUUCGAAAAGUGACGAAUCUGCAAUAUAUUUCAUAUUUCUGUUAUUGAGAACCGUUUGUUUCACCUCGGAUAAUUUUUUUU
rnacentral:lncRNA from 1 species